rnacentral:rRNA from 1 species
GAGUUUGAUCGUGGCUCAGAUUGAACGCUGGCGGCAUGCCUUACACAUGCAAGUCGAACGGCAGCACGGGAGCUUGCUCCUGGUGGCGAGUGGCGAACGGGUGAGUAAUGCAUCGGAACGUAUCCUGGAGUGGGGGAUAACGUAGCGAAAGUUACGCUAAUACCGCAUAUUCUGUGAGCAGGAAAGCGGGGGACCUUCGGGCCUCGCGCUCCUGGAGCGGCCGAUGUCGGAUUAGCUAGUUGGUGAGGUAAAGGCUCACCAAGGCGACGAUCCGUAGCAGGUCUGAGAGGAUGAUCUGCCACACUGGAACUGAGACACGGUCCAGACUCCUACGGGAGGCAGCAGUGGGGAAUUUUGGACAAUGGGGGCAACCCUGAUCCAGCCAUGCCGCGUGAGUGAAGAAGGCCUCGGUUGUAAGACUCUUUCGUCGAGGAAGGAAAGUUAGUACGACCGGA